rnacentral:tRNA from 1 species
GGAGAGAUGGCAGAGUGGUUGAUCGCGAUGGAUUGCUAAUCCGUUGUACUUAUUUUUAAGUACCGAGGGUUCAAAUCCCUCUCUCUCCU